rnacentral:lncRNA from 1 species
CAGACAGUUGCCCCAUGGUACCACAUACCACAUGGUAACACAUAUAUAAUGUGUAACAUUUCAUGUUAAUAAUGCACCUAAACCCAAACCCUCACUCAUCUGGCCAGUUCACUAUUCCUUUAAAACAGCUUUCCACACAUAGGUGGCAAAGAUCUGACGCCCCCGUCUGACAGAAAACUGUCAAAAGCUGACAUCUGACAUGCUGUGAAACCUGAAUCAAAGCCACUUCCAGCCUGCUCAUUGUAAUACGGCCCUGUCGCUUUAACGCAGCGCAGCGUAGCAGGAAGGGCAUAGAACAGCCAUUAAUCCCGCAGACCACGAGCUCCCGCAAGAGCCCCGGAUUUUAUUACUGCCCAAAUACCUUUAAGACUUUCAACAAUGUAAACAAUCGCUAGCAAUUAGAGCCGUCUUAAGCCCAGGCUCCUCUGGCUGCUCCGCUGUGCAAAUAGAAGGGCUUCAACUUCUCUCCUGCAGCAACAGAGACACUGGGCUUUGAUGCAUUGAUCUAGCACACACGGCGCUGAGCUAUGGCAAAUAAGAACUCACACGCGUUCUGUGGAGCUGUCAUGCUAACACGCGGGACUCAUCAGAGCAACAGUGAAAAAGGGGCGCAAAAGUGGCAAGUCUCCUGGAACUUGUGGAAAAGUUCGAUUGACGUGAGGAAACUACUAUUGCGCCACCAUUGCCCAGGGAUUUCAGAAAGGCAUACAAGAAGCGGUCAUUAGCUUCAGUCGAAGGUCACUGGACACUGACAUUUUCAUCAGACAAGCCUUUUUGUGGUGGAUAAUGAAUAACCAAAACGGGCAGCUCAGGACGUCUGAUGAAACCAGUCAAACUACGAGGUACACUGCAUUUUGUCAUAUCAGCUUCAUAGCGGUGAGUGGAGAAUCCUGAAGUCUUUUCAAAGUCUUUGCCCCAAACCAUGUGGGGUGAGCAGAGAAGAGAAGAGAAGAGAAGAGGGAGUGUUGGAGAUUCAGCAGAAGCAGUAGCGUUAGCGUAGCGGUAGACUGCUGGCCCUUGCAGUGCCAUGCCAGGAAAGACAGUUAGUUAGUGUUGGACAGGAGGCAGCUGCUCCGCACGGUUGUUUGGGUGCAUGCUGGGAGGGAGGGGGGGGGGGGGUUAGUGUCUGAGGCAGAGCACAAGGCUGGGAGUGGGCGGGCAGAGGGCUGAAAAAGAGGCGCGACGGGUCGUCGUCAGUGGCUCAGGGGCUUUCACACACUCACCCAGGGCUGCUGCUCGAAGCUGUACGUGCGUCGGCGGUCGUCCGGCUCGUCGUCGUCCCCCUCCUGCCUGGCCUGCUGGAACUCGUGCCGCAGACGCUGUAUCCGCUCGUGGUUGCUAGGCGCCAGCCGGUUGCUGCAGACAAAGAAAAGAGAGAGAGAGAGAGUCAGGCGUUGUUCAGAAGAGAAGAGAAUCACAUUCACUGCUUUAUC